UCCAGGAGGCCAGUCCCACAGAGGCCCCGGCUUUUCUCAGAAAGAUCUGCUGCGAAGCAGGGACAGCCACGCCAGAAAUGCUGCAAAAUGCAGGCGCAAGCACUUGCAAGUGGUGGCUUUGUGCUUCCCAUCCCUACAGCCUCGGUUUGCCAAACUCUGUAACGUCCAGAUGCGGCCAGAGCCCCUCCAUGGGGGGCUCCGGGCUGGAGUCAAAGGAGUGGGGGCAUCCAGAGAGGACAGCCUGCAGGGCUGCUGGUGGUGCUGACCGACGACGGGUGAUCCGGUCAUCAUUCCAUCGGGUACUUGAGACAGCAGUGAACUAAACACAACAAGCUGUGCCCUUGGGGAGCUUCCUUCUCAUGCAGGAGGACAACGAGUGAAUGAGAAAAACAUUUGUAUGUCAGAUGGUGACAGGUGCUAUGGAGAAAAAUAAGGCAGAGAAGAGGGGAAAUGAGGGUUGGAAUGGGGGACUGUGAAGUUAAAGGGGAGUUCGGAUUAGGGAAACUGAGGCCUGGGCAGAGCUAUGGAGGCUCCAGGCCAUGAGUGAAACAGAGAAUGUUUGGGUGGGAAGGGGCUGCAGAGGGAAUUUUGUUAUAUCUGACAGGUGGGGAGACUGAGGCCAAGAGAGGGAGAAUGGCCUGCCCAGGUGAAAGCCUAGAGUUCCAGGUCCACCCAUUCCACCCUGUUGCCCCACCACCUCCUGAACACCACUCAGUCCUCCCUCAACUUAGCAGGACUGCGAACUCACCAGAUGCUGUCUGCUUUUUUUCUGGGCAUGUUUUCUAGAAUACCUUUCAGUUACCAUGUGUGGUUACCCAGUUCUGGCCAGUGGAUAUUGGGCAGUAGUGACAUGUACCAAUUCCAGGCCUGGCUCCUAAAAACCUCCUAUAUGAUUUUCCAUGCACUUCGCUUUUCCUCAUCUGUGCAAUUAGAAGCCCAGGACUCAGAGCUCUAGCGCAUGAAGAAGUCACUAAAAGAAGGAAGACUGGGUCCCCACAUGACUGCAUGGAGGCGAGCACCUCGUCACCCUGCCUUGGACUAUGGCGUGAGGGAAUCUGGCGCGUUGAGCCAUUGCCAUUUGGGGCUUGUUUGUCACAGCAGCUUUCUUACCCUAAUUAAUACACUCCCCGUGACUGAACCUAAUGCAAAUGCGUAUCCCACCAGCCUUAGCUGCCAACACUAUGUGGGGUGGAUCUGACGUUUCUGUAGACCCUUUCUCACUUUGCCUGGUCAUAGCUCCCAUUUUUGUUAGAGGAGCCACCCCUCUUCUUGGUGAAGUUAUUUCUUCUGCUGCCUCCCCACCACCACCCAGAGGUGGGCGUGUGAUCCAGAUGGCCAUUCUGAGCACACAGUCCUCUUGACCAGGUGAUGGCUUCAGGGAUACAUACAUAAUGCAGUAAGAGUCUUGCUUAAGAUUCAGGCCGUGGAUGCUGGAAAGUGAGUCUCUCUUCCUCUGAGAUACGGAGCGAUGAGGACAAGGGAGCCUGAAGCUGCUGGAGCUGUUGCCCAAGGACACUGGGAAGAAGCUGUUGGUGGAAUGAAAGCGACAUGUAGAGGAAAGUAUGCCAAAGAGCCAGAGAGAAAAUCACUCUCUGCCACGUUGUUCCAAUCUUACCUGAAGCCAGACCUUCCUUCAAUUUCCCCAGUUACAAGAGCCAAUUAAUUAUCUUAACAAAAAUGGAUCCACUUUGAAUUUUGCCACUUAGAGUAGAAGGAGUUCUGAUUAAUAAAUCAUU